rnacentral:rRNA from 1 species
GAUGAACGCUGGCGGCGUGCCUAAUACAUGCAAGUCGAGCGAACAGACGAGGAGCUUGCUCCUCUGACGUUAGCGGCGGACGGGUGAGUAACACGUGUAUAACCUACCUAUAAGACUGGGAUAACUUCGGGAAACCGGAGCUAAUACCGGAUAAUAUAUUGAACCGCAUGGUUCAAUAGUGAAAGACGGUUUUUGUGUCUCUUCUAGAUGGAUCCGCGCCGCUUUGUCGAGUUGGGAAGUUAAAGGGUUAUCAAGGCAACGAGGCGUAGCCGACCUGUGAGGGGGGUCGGCCACCCUGGAACUGAGACACGGUCCAGACUCCUGCGGGAGGCAGCAGUAGGGAAUCUUCCGCAAUGGGCGAAAGCCUGACGGAGCAACGCCGCGUGAGUGAUGAAGGUCUUCGGAUCGUAAAACUCUGUUAUUAGGGAAGAACAAAUGUGUAAGUAACUAUGCACGUCUUGACGGUACCUAAUCAGAAAGCCACGGCUAACUACGUG